UCCAGAGGGUGCGAGCGUUAAUCGGAAUUACUGGGCGUAAAGGGCGCGUAGGCGGUGUAUUAAGUUAGAUGUGAAAUCCCUGGGCUUAACCUAGGAACUGCAUCUAAGACUGAUACGCUAGAGUGCGGUAGAGGAUAGUGGAAUUUCCGGUGUAGCGGUGAAAUGCGUAGAUAUCGGAAGGAACACCAGUGGCGAAGGCGGCUAUCUGGACUGACACUGACGCUGAGGCGCGAGAGCGUGGGGAGCAAACAGG
rnacentral:rRNA from 1 species